UACGAAGGGGGCUAGCGUUGCUCGGAAUCACUGGGCGUAAAGGGUGCGUAGGCGGGUCUUUAAGUCAGGGGUGAAAUCCUGGAGCUCAACUCCAGAACUGCCUUUGAUACUGAAGAUCUUGAGUUCGGGAGAGGUGAGUGGAACUGCGAGUGUAGAGGUGAAAUUCGUAGAUAUUCGCAAGAACACCAGUGGCGAAGGCGGCUCACUGGCCCGAUACUGACGCUGAGGCACGAAAGCGUGGGGAGCAAACAGGG
rnacentral:rRNA from 1 species